UACGUAGGGGGCAAGCGUUAUCCGGAUUUACUGGGUGUAAAGGGAGCGUAGACGGCCAUUCAAGCCAGAUGUGAAAGCCCGGGGCUCAACUCCGGGACUGCAUUUGGAACUGCGCGGCUAGAGUGUCGGAGAGGCAGGCGGAAUUCCUAGUGUAGCGGUGAAAUGCGUAGAUAUUAGGAGGAACACCAGUGGCGAAGGCGGCCUGCUGGACUGCGACUGACGUUGAGGCUCGAAAGCGUGGGGAGCGAACAGG
rnacentral:rRNA from 1 species